rnacentral:lncRNA from 1 species
UGGAGAAUGCGAGUGUGUGUGCACACACGUGUCCCUCGCCCUCUUCCUCAGAGGCUGGCACACUAUGCGCUACAAACGUGUGGGCGUUUUUAGACUUUGUUUCUCCAGGGGAGGGACUUUAAACGCUGAGUUUCCUCCUUGGAGGAAUCUGAAUUGUGCAUUAGCAGAAACUACUCAGAUCAAAUAAAGCUCUUGUGAGUUCUGCAAGACUUGGAACUGUGGGAGCCGCUGGCCGCUGUGUGGCGGGUUGGAAGUACGUUCACGCACGCGCAGCCAAGCAGAUCUUCCACGGGCUGUAGAGCCUUUUCUGCACCUGCUGCUGGAAGUUGUUACCUCAAGUGAGCCGUUUGUGUGACUCUUCGUAAGGAACAUGAGUCACAUGAAAGGGCACAUUGCCUUCGGGGACAUAAUCAAAUGCCUGAAUGACAAGUAUGAAGAGUGUCACCCUCAAUGACACCUUGGAAUCCUCAAACUGUUUUUCGUGGAGCCCGUCAGCAGGUGGAUGAUGGCCGGUUCCCCUUGGGAGAAGACUGCUCACCUGGCGCUGCUCAGCAAGGCCCCCUGUCUGCAGACCAGUCCCCUCACAUGCGACUUCAAAUCGCAGGAAAGACUUGCCCUGAGAGGAAGCAUCUCGAGGGAGCACAUUGGGUCUGCGCCGGACAGGAGGGGCUGAUCUGUAAGAAGAGAACCAAAAUGUCUGGACCUCUCAUCACACUCAGUACUGGUUACACUAACUGCGGGACCCAGAGCAAGAUGAAAACGUGAGGCCCCCGUCCACAGUCGUGAACGAUUUCAAGACAGUAAUCGAAGAGCAUGAUCCAUGCAUGAGGCCUCCCAGAUUGUGGCCCCUUGAGCAUGGACCCCCUGAGCCCAGCCUCUUUGUUCUGCAGAAGAACUUCAACUCUAAGUAGACAGUGAAAAGUUAAACUUCUAAAUUGAUUUAUUAACUCCAGCGACUACAUAGUCACACAGCUGUACAGAGUGACAUAGACCAGACCCAACAGAGAGGUUAACAUGGAAGAGUAAAAAAUAUUCUAAGAAUUCUAAGAAAGACAGAAAGGGAGAAAGAAAACAAUGAAAAAUAUAGGGGACAAACAAAACAAUAAAAUAGUAAACUUGUAUCCA